UACGGAGGAUGCGAGCGUUAUCCGGAUUUAUUGGGUUUAAAGGGUGCGUAGGCGGAUCGUUAAGUCAGUGGUCAAAUUGAGGGGCUCAACCCCUUCCCGCCAUUGAAACUGGCGAUCUUGAGUGGAAGAGAAGUAUGCGGAAUGCGGGGUGUAGCGGUGAAAUGCAUAGAUAUCACGCAGAACCCCGAUUGCGAAGGCAGCAUGCCGGCUUCCUACUGACGCUGAAGCACGAAAGCGUGGGGAUCGAACAGG
rnacentral:rRNA from 1 species